GAAUGGAAUGGUACAAUUACGUAUCAUCAGACAAUUGGUAUGGAUUCCAUUACUGACACAACAAAACUUGAUAGAAGGUGUAUCAUCAAACAAUGAGAAAGUUGAGCACCAUUUUUAAUAAUAUGAUCCCAUAUCCAUGUCCAAUAGUUAAUUUGAAAAUUGGUGAUUGGUAAACUUCCUACAAAGGCAUUGCUGGCCAAC
rnacentral:lncRNA from 1 species